AUAUUUUUAGUUAACACUAAUAAAGAAUUAUUUUUAAUUUGACUCUAGCUAAACUUGACACCUUAUGACAAAGUUUUUACCACGAAAGGAGUUUAUUCAGUGGUCACACAUUGACACUAAAAUGUAGUUAACUAAACUCCCAGAUAGUUUAUUCCAGAGCACGGAAUUUUCUGUGUUCCAAGAACAAAGGCCCACAAACACUCACAGUCCCGCUGGGACACCAGGGUCCCGUUUCACCUGAGACCUCCAGCGAGCGUAUGCGACACCAGUGGGCGGAGCGAAAGCCCCACGUCAUAAAAGCGCGCCACCUGACGUCUCCUCUGUUUUCUCUGGCAAAUCAAGGUCCUUCGACCUCCACAGGACCUGGUUCUCUGCUCAGAGGGAGACAGACUGGAACAGAACCUGCUCCCACUACAGCUCCACCGGGAAAGGAAUCCGUCGCCAAAAACAGAGGACGCUGUGAUCAGCUGAUCACCGGGACGAGACGGGAGCGAUAGACCGUGAGCUCGACACGACGACGGACGACUGCGACGGAAAGCAACACGGAGGACGAAGGGCCAAAACCGGGACCGAACAGCAAUCAACGCAACGAACGGAGGAAUCGGCCGGGUUGAGAUCCACCUGCUUCCUUGAACAACCAUGGAAGUACAGAAAACGAAACAAAGAGGAAGACGAUACUCAAGGCAGUAUCUUUGUCAGCAAUUUACUGCAAGAGGUAACCUAAAAAGUCAUCAGCAAGUUCAUGCAGGGGAAAGACCAUACACCUGCACUGAAUGUGGAGCAGCAUUUAAAAAGGUCAGUACGUUGACGUU